rnacentral:misc_RNA from 1 species
GAUGAAGAAUGCAGCGAAAUGCGAUACGUAAUGUGAAUUGCAGAAUUCAGUGAAUCAUCGAGUCUUUGAACGCACAUUGCGCCCCCUGGUAUUCCGGGGGGCAUGCCUGUCCGAGCGUCAUUGCUGCCCUCAAGCACGGCUUGUGUGUUGGGCCUCCGUCCUCCUCCCGGGGGACGGGCCCGAAAGGCAGCGGCGGCACCGCGUCCGGUCCUCGAGCGUAUGGGGCUUCGUCACCCGCUCUUGUAGGCCCGGUCGGCGCUUGCCGACACAUCAAUCUUUUUUCCAGGUUGACCUCGGAUCAGGUAGGGAUACCCGCUGAACUUAAGCAUAUCAAUAAGCGGAGGA